CUUCGGGGGUACUCGAGCGGCGAACGGGUGAGUAACACGUGAGCAACCUGCCCCCGACUCUGGGAUAAGCCUGGGAAACCGGGUCUAAUACCGGAUAUGACCCAUCAUCGCAUGGUGUGUGGGUGGAAAGAUUCAGUUCGGUCGGGGAUGGGCUCGCGGCCUAUCAGCUUGUUGGUGGGGUGACGGCCUACCAAGGCGACGACGGGUAGCCGGCCUGAGAGGGCGACCGGUCACACUGGGACUGAGACACGGCCCAGACUCCUACGGGAGGCAGCAGUGGGGAAUAUUGCGCAAUGGGCGGAAGCCUGACGCAGCGACGCCGCGUGGGGGAUGACGGCCUUCGGGUUGUAAACCUCUUUCAGCGGGGACGAAGCUCUUUUUGGGGUGACGGUACCUGCAGAAGAAGCGCCGGCUAACUACGUGCCAGCAGCCGCGGUAAUACGUAGGGCGCGAGCGUUGUCCGGAAUUAUUGGGCGUAAAGAGCUCGUAGGCGGUUUGUCGCGUCGGAUGUGAAAGCCCACGGCUUAACUGUGGGUCUGCAUUCGAUACGGGCAGGCUAGAGGCAGGUAGGGGAGCAUGGAAUUCCCGGUGUAGCGGUGAAAUGCGCAGAUAUCGGGAGGAACACCGGUGGCGAAGGCGGUGCUCUGGGCCUUGCCUGACGCUGAGGAGCGAAAGCGUGGGGAGCGAACAGGAUUAGAUACCCUGGUAGUCCACGCCGUAAACGUUGGGCGCUAGGUGUGGGGUUCUUCCACGGAUUCCGC
rnacentral:rRNA from 1 species